rnacentral:rRNA from 1 species
AACGAACGCUGGCGGCAUGCCUAACACAUGCAAGUCGAACGAGACCUUCGGGUCUAGUGGCGCACGGGUGCGUAACGCGUGGGAACCUGCCUUUAGGUUCGGAAUAACUCAGAGAAAUUUGAGCUAAUACCGGAUAAUGUCUUCGGACCAAAGAUUUAUCGCCUUUAGAUGGGCCCGCGUAAGAUUAGCUAGUUGGUGGGGUAAAGGCCUACCAAGGCGACGAUCUUUAGCUGGUCUGAGAGGAUGAUCAGCCACACUGGGACUGAGACACGGCCCAGACUCCUACGGGAGGCAGCAGUGGGGAAUAUUGGACAAUGGGCGAAAGCCUGAUCCAGCAAUGCCGCGUGAGUGAUGAAGGCCUUAGGGUUGUAAAGCUCUUUUACCCGGGAUGAUAAUGACAGUACCGGGAGGAAUAAGCUCCGGCUAACUCCGUGCCAGCAGCCGCGGUAAU